AAGGAGAUGUCAAGAGGCAGCGGGGAGGAGGGAAUGGAGAAAAGAUACCUGUGCAGGUGUACAGAACCUGCUCAACCCAGCUUCAUUAGCCCCCGCUAGGUGCCCAGGAGCCCUGGAGAUAAUGAAGCUUCUGAGAUCCAAGCGAGAAGGUGAAUGUGCAGCUUCUGGUGCGGUGCCCAGCACGGAGUUGGUGGACAGUGACCUGGAGCUCCCCACUUGCUCUGUCUCCUGACUGAAGCCAUCCUCAUCUCUCUCCUGGACUGUGAAACCUGGCUUCCCACUGGUUUCCACCUCACCUCACCCCUCUCCAAAGAACCCAUUGUCCCCAGCUGCCAGAGGCUCUUUCUAAGCCCAGAGCCCUCCAUCGAGACAGGCCCUGUCUCAGAACUCCAGCUGACUUCCCACCAUGUUUGAGUCAUGUCCAGCCCCAUCCUCUACGGCCCUCCACCACCGUCCACCUCAAUUCUCCUGCCUCAUGCCCCGUCCUCAGGCUUCCUGUCCACCCACCGUAGACUGAGCCUACCUCGUCCACCGCCUCACCCUUCCCCACAUGCGCUGUGCAAACUGCUACCUCCUCUUCUUUGCUCCCUCUGCCUGGAAUGGAUGCUUGUUGAAAUUUCAGCUUUCUUCCCAGGUAUUCACCCCCGAUGACGUCACCUCUUUGAAGCCCUCCUUUGUGAUCCCAUGGAGCUUCACAUCUACCAUGUUUGGGACUCAGAUCUUUGCCUCAUCUGUCAGUGGUGUAGGAGGGUCUGUAGGUGCUUUCAAGGUGGAGUCCAGGUCCUAAGCAUCUCUGUCCCUCAAUACCUCUCUAGUUUCCAAGUCUUGGCACUGCAGAAGGAUGAUACCUGGUGCAUGGUCGGGGGGAGCGUCCUGCUGUUUCUAAAUCUCAUGACCAAGUCAACUGCCUGCUCCAGCUGUGGGAGAGAAUGGGCAGCUGCCCACCUGGCAGCCGUGUGACCGAUGGCAGGUCACUUUGCCUUCCGGGGCCUCAGUGUUCUCACCUAUACAAUGGGGAUGAGCAAAUAGGACCUACCUCCCAGGACACCUGGGAGGAUGAAAUGAGAUCACGUGUGUGAAGCUCUUAGCAUGGCGUGGGGGACACAGCAAGUGCAGGGGACGCAGCAACAGUGUGGCGGCUGCUACAUCACGGAGGCUGUAAGGCCAGACUCCUUGUCCCCAGUGCCCAGCUAGGUCCCUUGCCCCCCCGGCUCUGUUGUCUUUAGUGGCUCUUCCUCCUCACUCACUCCUCUGUGCAGUCACACAGCCCAACCCAGCUGCUGCACUCACCUGCUGCAUGACCCUGGGCAAGGUGCUUACUUUCCUUACGUCUGCAUUUCCUGAUUUAGAAAACAGGGUAAAGCUGCCCUGCCUGCAUGCUUCCAAGGCUCUGGCACACACACAAGGAUGUAGCCCAGCCCUUCCUCCAAGGAGUUCCAUGACAGGAAAGACAGAAGGGGAAAGAAAUACUUGCAAAUUCGGUGUGAGCUAUGACAGAGGUGCACGGACAUUCAGCAGGAGGCAGGCAAUGGCAUCACGGGCUCAGAGUACAGUGAGGGUGAAAGAAGAUGAUUCCACACAUAAUAGUUGCUCAGUAAACAUCUUUUCCCUUCUCCAGCCUUACUCUUUCCAUAUAGCCUAACUUUUUAGACUCAGCUGCUUUCCACCUCAGAACCCCAAUCUCUGUCCUUUCUGCUGAGCCUGCAAAAUCUGGAAGGAGGGAUAGAAGACGGGCCCCUUGGGGAGCCCCUCCUAUCAUCACCAACCUUAGUUAACAUUUGCUGUUUACUGUUUCCAGGCACUGGGCAGGUGUUCUGCAUACAUUAAAAUCUAAUUGAAUCCUCACAACAGCUCCACGGAACAGUUGUCAAGGCUGACCCAGAACCUAAGGGAGACAGACCAGAGGGAUAAAUCCAGUGAAUCUGCAGAAAAGCCAGUGAAGACCAGGUGGAUGAAAAUGAGGCUGGGGCCAUGCCCAUGGGGAGAUGUUGGACGAUGCUUGAGUGCAAGAUGGCAGCAGGCCGGGAGAGGCCCAGAAGAGAACUCACCACGCCGUGGGGGUGAGUAGCGGGAGGGACAGCAGCAUGUGCAUCCCCCAAAGGCCUCCAGUUUGUUUGUAAAGUCUCAGGCAGGAAUCUGCCCUUGUGAUCCUGAGGCCUCAUGUUUCAGGGCUCAAAGCUGGCCCUGGGGACAGGAGGUGGCAACUGGUGUCUGACCCCCUAAACCUGGUGCCUCCACUGAUCAACAGACCAGAUAAGGGACAGGUCACCCCCUGACCUUAGGGCCUUGAGGCCCAGGGCGGGGAGUGGGUGGUGGUGCUGCAGUUAGAGGAUCCCAUUCUCAGGACAGUAAACCCUCGAAAGAACUUCUCACCCACUAUUUUCCAAGCUUUAGUCACUUGCAUUCUGCUUUCAUAAUGUUGACCAUUUCCAAGUUCCCUUGUAUUUUUAAACUUAAAAUAAAG
rnacentral:lncRNA from 10 species